rnacentral:rRNA from 1 species
UACGGGGGGGGCCAGCGUUGUUCGGAAUUACUGGGCGUAAAGGGCGCGUAGGCGGCUACCGAAGUCGGACGUGAAAUCCCUCGGCUCAACCGGGGAACUGCGUCUGAUACUGGGUGGCUCGAAUCCGGGAGAGGGAUGCGGAAUUCCAGGUGUAGCGGUGAAAUGCGUAGAUAUCUGGAGGAACACCGGUGGCGAAGGCGGCAUCCUGGACCGGUAUUGACGCUGAGGCGCGAAAGCCAGGGGAGCAAAC